rnacentral:rRNA from 2 species
CCUGGUGGCUAUAGCGCGGGGGAAACACCUCUUCUCAUUUCGAACAGAGAAGUUAAGUCCCGCAGCGCCGAUGGUACUGGCCGUUGGCCGGUAGAGUAGGACGUUGCCAGGA